CCUGAAGUUGCAGUAGGAAUGGGCCUGCUAGCCUCUAACCAGCAACUUCUCAGGCCAGGGCGGGGACGUCCAUAGACCCUUUCCAACUCUAAUGCUUACCGCUCUCCUCCCAACACAGAAAUAUGCUUGUCUCUGAACACGUGAGGACCAACACUUCAGACUUCCAGAAGCCCAUUGCAAAGGUUGAAGCAUUCCUUCCUAGAGAAAGGAGGGAGGGUGAGACACUCCAGGAACUCACGAGUCUACAAGAUUCAGGAAGCCCAUCAAAUUUACAAGGCCCUCAAGGCCCCCAUUAGCAAAUGAUUGCUAGGAAGGUUAGAAGCUUGGGGGAUGGCACAAACUGCAAAGGGGACUCCAGUGACACAGCUUCCUGGAGCCAUCACCAGUGCUGAGGCGGGUUUUUGAUUUUGUAGCAGCCUGAGUUGCUUCUGUAGGUAACCCCAAUAAACUCGCUAUUCACCAAGAUGAA